AAAAAGAUUUUAUCUUGAUAGAUGAGGAAAUGCAUAAUUUAAAACGAAGGAUUAUGAAGCAAACAGUUUUUUGUCGUCACGCCAUCAUUUCUGACAAAAGUGAUUAAUAUUGUAAAGACUAAAACCGACUUAAAUGUCGAUUUAUCUUUAUUAAACUUUCUAAUUCUGCCGAGAAAUUAAAUCUGAUUGAGCUUGUUCAAGCCUGAAUUAAGAGAAUUACAAGUGAAUCGAAACAGGUUGGACUAUAGACGACACAAACGGGUUUCUUUUCGAAUGAAAAUUAGACAACUCGUGACAACCACUGCUUUGAACAAAGAGGGAAGAGGAGAAAGAAACUCGAAUAGACAGCUAAACUAUAGAAGUUACGUCUCAUGUGGGUACACGAGUUGUACACAUUGCGUUCAAAAUACGAAUGAAUUGAUAUACGUAUUUUCGGAACCGGUUUCUCAUCGACGUUCCCUCGAAUAGGUUCAACAUCGUUACGUCAAAAUGUUUGUUCACGCUAUGCCGUCACCUAAGAAUAAGUGGAGAAAGAAUAAAGGAUAAGGAACAGAGACAAAGAAUAUAGAAUGAAGAGGUCGUUGACGCCAUUUGAGAAGGUAUCGUUCAGUUGAAUCACCAACCAAGCAUCAUUUUUGGCUCGGUUGGUACUUUGAUAUUUCUGUCAUUAUUAAAAUUACGUCUUAUUUUUUGAUACUGGAUAGUUCUAAAAUACAGGUAUAACUAAAAUACCCGGAUAACGCGAUAUUUCUACAACAUGGCACGAGAAUUGUAUAAUUCUGACAAAGCAGUUUGAAAAUUAGAGUAAUAACUGAUCCUCGGUCUAGGAUCCGAGAAGUGUUUCUUUUUUCAAUAUUUUUAUAUUAUUAUACUCGACAAGAGAGAUCUUGUUACAGUAAGAAUACUGUAGUUUUUCAGUUCUGUUCCCCGGAGGUUUAAUUCUGUGAGACAUUUUGAAAAGUCUAAAGAACGAAGAUCUUUCCCGUUCUAUUAAGAGCGUAUAAUAGUGUCGUGGAACGAGCUGUUAAAUCGCCUAGAGAUAUCCUGACUUGUGAAUUAAUCUGUAGCCGUGAACCAAUACCUACCGGAAGUGAAGAUAUUUCUUUCACUUGCUAAUGUGAACCUAACAACCAAGAUUAUUCGUGUUUAAAUAUACUGUGGACAAUGAGUAACUCAUGGAAUAUGUAUUCAAUGAAUUUUCUUCUCAUUGAUCACCAUUUUGCUCCAGCAUAUGAUCCGUCGAAAAAGUAGGAGCACGAUUGAACGAACCUUUAACAGCAAAGCUUUCUUUCACAGUUAUGGGUACGCCAAGAAGAGGCUUUUCACGGGCAAGCUCUUCCUCGGUUGUUGGCGUGCUAGCAAGGAAUUCGUCGACCUUUCGCGCCUCUUCAAUGGCUGUAUCGUAGCGCUGAUCGACGAUGGCAUUUAACACAGGAUUCACGGCUAUACAUCUUUCCACUAACUACGUUAUCGCGGUCUCACUUGUUUCCUACGAAUUGCACGCGCGAUUUUCGUCGCCGAAAUCAGCAACAGGUGAUUCUUAAUCGUCGGUAUUCUUUUUUGCUUCUUGAAGCGCUGCAGCCUUAAAAUUGGCGUCAAAAUACAGGAUAACAGGAGAAAACCGUACUUCAGCAACUUCUGAAUCACCAGGUUUAUCAUAUCC